rnacentral:rRNA from 2 species
CACGCUGUAAACGAUGAUCACUCGUUGUUGGCGAUAUACAGUCAGCGACUGAACGAAAGUAUUAAGUGAUCCACCUGGGGAGUACGAUCGCAAGGUUGAAACUCAAAGGAAUUGACGGGGGCCCGCACAAGCGGUGGAGCAUGUGGUUUAAUUCGAUGAUACGCGAGGAACCUUACCUGGGCUUGAACGUAUUAUGACAGUCCCCGAAAGGGGAUCUUCCUUUAGGACAUUUUACGAGGUGC